UUUCCCUCAAGAUAGCUGAAGCUCAUGUGUGAGUCUAUUGUGUAAAGCCAAUAAUUAGAGGCCUCUGGGGAGCAACGCCGUCUACAUAUUAUCAAACUUUGAAAAUGUAGGACGGCACGACUACUUUUUUGAGCCGCAAAUCUUUAUCUUUU
rnacentral:rRNA from 1 species